GACAGAGGUCCCGAGCGUUAGGCGGAAUCACUGGGCUUAAAGCGUGUGUAGGCGGAUCUGUAAGUACCUUGUGAAAUCCCACGGCUUAACCGUGGAACUGCUCGGUAUACUGCGGAUCUUGAGCCACCUAGGGGCAACCGGAACAAACGGUGGAGCGGUGAAAUGCGUAGAUAUCAGGAAGAACACCAAUGGCGAAGGCAGCUCUCUGGGACAGUACUGACGCUGAGACGCGAAAGCGUGGGGAGCGAACAGG
rnacentral:rRNA from 1 species